rnacentral:rRNA from 1 species
AAUAUUGGACAAUGGGUGAAAGCCUGAUCCAGCCAUCCCGCGUGAAGGAUGACGGUCCUAUGGAUUGUAAACUUCUUUUGUACAGGAAUAAACCUACUCUCGUGAGAGUAGCUGCAGGUACUGUAGGAAUAAGAACCGUCUAGCUCCGUGCCAGCGGCCGCGGUAAUACGGAGGGUGCAAGCAUUAUCCGGAUUUAUUGGGUUUAAAGGGUCCGUAGGCGGACCCGUAAGUCAGUGGUGAAAUCUCAUAGCUUAACUAUUAAACUGCCAUUGAUACUGCGGGUCUUGAGUAAAUUUGAAGUGGCUUGAAUAAGUAGUGUAGCGGUGAAAUACAUAGAUAUUACUUAGAACACCAAUUGCGAAGGCAGGUCACUAAGAUUUAACUGACGCUGAUGGACGAAAGCGUGGGUAGCGAAAAG